UACGGAGGAUGCAAGCGUUAUCCGGAAUGAUUGGGCGUAAAGCGUCCGCAGGUGGCUGUGUAAGUCUGCCGUCAAAGAGCGAAGCUCAACUUCGUAAAGGCAGUGGAAACUACACGGCUAGAGUGCGUUCGGGGCAGAGGGAAUUCCUGGUGUAGCGGUGAAAUGCGUAGAGAUCAGGAAGAACACCGGUGGCGAAGGCGCUCUGCUAGGCCGCAACUGACACUGAGGGACGAAAGCUAGGGGAGCGAAUGGG
rnacentral:rRNA from 1 species